GACGAACGCUGGCGGCGUGCUUAACACAUGCAAGUCGAACGGAAAGGCCCUGCUUUUGUGGGGUGCUCGAGUGGCGAACGGGUGAGUAACACGUGAGUAACCUGCCCUUGACUUUGGGAUAACUUCAGGAAACUGGGGCUAAUACCGGAUAGGAGCUCCUGCUGCACGGUGGGGGUUGGAAAGUUUCGGCGGUUGGGGAUGGACUCGCGGCUUAUCAGCUUGUUGGUGGGGUAGUGGCUUACCAAGGCUUUGACGGGUAGCCGGCCUGAGAGGGUGACCGGCCACAUUGGGACUGAGAGACGGCCCAGACGCCAACGGGAGGCAGCAGGGGGGAAUAUUGCACAAUGGGCGGAAGCCUGAUGCAGCAACGCCGCGUGCGGGAUGACGGCCUUCGGGUUGUAAACCGCUUUCGCCUGUGACGAAGCGUGAGUGACGGUAAUGGGUAAAGAAGCACCGGCUAACUACGUG
rnacentral:rRNA from 1 species